rnacentral:rRNA from 1 species
UACAGAGGGUGCGAGCGUUGUCCGGAAUCACUGGGCGUAAAGGGCGCGUAGGUGGCCCGACAAGUCCAUGGUGAAAGUUCGACGCUUAACGUCGAAUCGGCCACUGAUACUGUUGGGCUGGAGCACUGUAGAGGCUCAUGGAAUUCCGGGUGUAGCGGUGGAAUGCGUAGAGAUCCGGAAGAACACCGGUGGCGAAGGCGGUGAGCUGGGCAGUUGCUGACACUGAGGCGCGACAGCGUGGGGAGCAAAAGGG